rnacentral:rRNA from 1 species
UACGAAGGGGGCUAGCGUUGCUCGGAAUCACUGGGCGUAAAGGGUGCGUAGGCGGGUCUUUUAAGUCAGGGGGUGAAAUCCUGGAGCUCAACUCCAGAACUGCCUUUGAUACUGAGGAUCUUGAGUUCGGGGAGAGGUGAGUGGAACUGCGAGUGUAGAGGUGAAAUUCGUAGAUAUUCGCAAGAACACCAGUGGCGAAGGCGGCUCACUGGCCCGGUACUGACGCUGAGGUGCGAAAGCGUGGGGAGCAAACAGG